GUGGGAUUCUGGGUGGAAUUACGAGGAGAUUAUUGGAAAGUGAUGCAGUGAGCGUCCACCAACAGAUCGAAGGUAAUUAUAGGUAUCCUAGUGUAGUACAGAAAUUUCAAAUAAUACAUCUCGGUGCCCAGACCGAUAGACCAGGAUCCAGCCAUACACACCGCUCCCAUGGUCUCCCUGCACAGCCCAGGUCAGUCAGCACGCAUACCUCACCUGAUAUCAGCUCUGUCAGUGGGAUAUAGCACCUCCAAGGCCGGCGUGAAGUACCAGCUUCUGCGUUCAGUAUGUGACGGUUACUGGGUCACAUCUGAUGCUCACCGUCCUGGUACCAGUAUCCCAGCAUGCAGUGCGUCUUGGUAUCACAGACACCAAUAGAAAACAGAGCAUCCCUUCAUCAGUACAGGAGUCCAACAACCUGCCCAGACCAAUAAUUCCUCAUAGCAACAACUCUAUAAACUGCAAGUCCCCAGCAUCCAGGAUAUUGGGGAACACCAACUGCAGCUUAUGGGGUGCUCCCAAAGCAGGUUAUGGGGUACACCCAGCUCCCUCAGUGCAAGUUAAGGGGUACACCAAGUCUAGGUUAUGGGGGUGCCCCUGUCCAGGUUUUGGGGUGCUCUCUCAGUCCAGGUUUUGGGGUGCUCCCAGUCCAGUUUAUCGGGGUGCUCUCAGUCCAGUUUAUCGGGGUGCUCUCUCAGUCCAGUUUAUUGGGGUGCUCUCUCAGUCCAGUUUAUUGGGGUGCUCUCUCAGCCCAGUUUAUUGGGGUGCUCUCUCAGUCCAGGUUUUGGGGUGCUCUCUCAGUCCAGUUUAUUGGGGUGCUCUCUCAGCCCAGUUUAUUGGGGUGCUCUCUCAGCCCAGUUUAUUGGGGUGCUCUCUCAGUCCAGGUUUUGGGGUGCUCUCAGUCCAGGUUUUGGGGUGCUCUCUCAGUCCAGGUUGUGGGGUGCUCCCAGCCCAGGUUUUGGGGUGCUCUCUCAGUCCAGUUUAUUGGGGUGCUCGCUCAGUCCAGGUUUUGGGGUGCUCUCAGUCCAGGUUUUGGGGUGCUCUCUCAGUCCAGGUUGUGGGGUGCUCUCUCAGUCCAGGUUGUGGGGUGCUCUCUCAGUCCAGGUUGUGGGGUGCUCCCAGCCCAGGUUUUGGGGUGCUCUCUCAGCCCAGUUUAUUGGGGUGCUCUCUCAGUCCAGGUUGUGGGGUGCUCUCUCAGUCCAGGUUGUGGGGUGCUCUCUCAGCCCAGUUUAUUGGGAUGCUCUCUCAGUCCAGGUUGUGGGGUGCUCUCUCAGUCCAGGUUGUGGGGUGCUCCCAGCCCAGGUUUUGGGGUGCUCUCUCAGCCCAGUUUAUUGGGGUGCUCUCUCAGCCCAGUUUAUUGGGGUGCUCUCUCAGCCCAGGUUUUGGGGUGCUCUCUCAGCCCAGUUUAUUGGGGUGCUCUCUCAGCCCAGGUUUUGGGGUGCUCUCUCAGCCCAGUUUAUUGGGGUGCUCGCUCAGUCCAGGUUUUGGGGUGCUCUCAGUCCAGGUUGUGGGGUGCUCUCUCAGUCCAGGUUGUGGGGUGCUCUCUCAGUCCAGUUUAUUGGGGUGCUCUCCGAGCCCAGUUUAUUGGGGUGCUCUCAGUGUCCGCACAGAUCACCAGCCGCUCUUUCCACCAUUAAUGAGAAUAACUGACAACGUUACUGACGCUCUAGCAACAAAACACAACCUACCCGAGGACCGCCCCCUGCCGGCGGCUAUUGGUGAAAACAAGAAUCUUCUCAACCAGCAUUGGCUGAGCGAGCUGUCAAUCAAAG
rnacentral:lncRNA from 1 species